GUGCUUGCCUAGGCAGCACAUAUACUAAAAUUGGAGCGAUGUAAAGAUUAGCCUGGCCCCUGCACAAGGAUGACAUGCAAAUUCGUGAAACGUUCUGUAGUUUU
rnacentral:snRNA from 1 species